rnacentral:rRNA from 1 species
AGCUCCAAUAGCGUAUAUUAAAGUUGUUGCAGUUAAAAAGCUCGUAGUUGGAUUUCUGUGAGAGUGCCGGUGUCGGCUGAUGCUUGUACGCGGGCGCUCUUACAUCCUUCUGUUAACUGAUCUUGGCAUUUUAUUGCUGGUUCAGGGCUCAGAUAUUUUACCUUGAGAAAAUUAGAGUGUUUCAGGCAGGCUUAUGCCGGAAUACAUUAGCAUGGAAUAAUGGAACAGGACCUGUGCGUCUUUCGGGGCGCCGGUCUCCGUUAUUGGUUUCGGGGACUAAAGUAAUGAUUAAUAGGGAUAGUUGGGGGCAUUAGUAUUUAAUAGUCAGAGGUGAAAUUCUCGGAUUUGUUAAAGACUAACUUAUGCGAAAGCAUUUGCCAAGGAUGUUUUCA